GCAGUCGCCGCGGUAAUACAGAGGGUGCGAGCGUUAAUCGGAUUUACUGGGCGUAAAGCGUGCGUAGGCGGCUUCUUAAGUCGGAUGUGAAAUCCCUGAGCUUAACUUAGGAAUUGCAUUCGAUACUGGGAAGCUAGAGUAUGGGAGAGGAUGGUAGAAUUCCAGGUGUAGCGGUGAAAUGCGUAGAGAUCUGGAGGAAUACCGAUGGCGAAGGCAGCCAUCUGGCCUAAUACUGACGCUGAGGUACGAAAGCAUGGGGAGCAAACAGGAUUAGAUACCCCCGUAGUCCCUGUCUCUUAUAA
rnacentral:rRNA from 1 species